rnacentral:rRNA from 1 species
UACGGGGGGUGCGAGCGUUGUCCGGAAUCACUGGGCGUAAAGGGCGCGUAGGUGGUUUGAUAAGGCUGUGGUGAAAGCCCGGGGCUCAACCCCGGGUCUGCCGUGGCGACUGUCAGACUUGAGGGCUCGAGAGGCAGACGGAAUUCCGGGUGUAGCGGUGGAAUGCGUAGAGAUCCGGAAGAAGACCGGUGGCGAAGGCGGUCUGCUGGCGAGUACCUGACACUGAUGCGCGACAGCGUGGGGAGCAAACGGG